AGAUCUCAUCCACGUUUCUCUGGCCUCUAACAGCUCCUUAUUCUUUUCAUGUGUUUCAGAGUCUUUCUACUUUUUGAAUAGUACAGGCGUGUGAAGACCAGAGGGCGACGCUUCGCUACACUCCGCCUUGGAUGUUUUUAUGAUAUCUGAUACAAGAAGUAUUGUCAAAAGAGAGAAUGAGGCCGGGUGGUGGCGGCUCACGCCUUUAAUCCCAACACUCGGGAGGCAGAGGCAGGUGGAUCUCUGUGAAUUCGAGACCAGCCUGGCCUACAAGAGUUAGUUCCAGGAGAAACCCUGUCUCAGAAAAUAGCAUUUGUUAAGGGUGGCUUACAUGUUACGGUCUGAUUUUUCCAAAAAUGCUCUCUCGAUGGAAAGUCCAAGAAUCCUGUAGUUCAGCCCAGAAGGUUGGAUGUCUCCGCUGGUCUUCGGCAUGCACCAGAACCCUGAAGAAGGAGACUUUAACGCCAGUGAAAGGAAUGAGUUGCCGGCCAGAGUGAGGGUGACCAGGCAGAGUGAAGGUCCUUCCAUGCCUUUUAAAUAAGAUGGCCACCAGAAGUCAUGGUCAAGAUUUAAGGUUGAUCUCCUGGCCUCAAAAGAUCUGCCCAUUGCAAAUAACCAACUAAGAAAAUUCCCUCCUGGGCUUUUAGUUCAUCCCAGCUGACAAGCUAGAACAGCCACCACACUUCUCUGUGAACUAAAACUGUUAUUAGUAUCUAAUGAUUGUAUGAAGUUUAGUAUUUAAAUUCACUUUCAGCCACUA